AAUGAUUCGUAUGAUUGAUAUUGGAUAAGUAUAUAUGGAUUAUAGCUAUUGGAUUUUGUUGGUUGAUUAAUGAUUGAGAUAGGAUAAUAGGUGGAUAGUCUUAUACAUAGACGAGACGAUGUCGGAUUUUCGAUAAGGAUUUAUAUGAUAAGUGAUUGAUAAUAUGUUAGGUGGUAUAUGACUUGACUAUAUGGUAGAGUCAAAGCAUGAUUACGUGUUAAGUGAUAUGUGAUAAGUUUAAAGGGGUAUAUAAGUGGGUAUCGAUAUACGUGAUAUGUAUAUGCGAUAUAUUGUUUAGUGACUAUAGUAUUAUCUUAUUCUCGUAAAGGAUUUGGACGAGACGUGUACGCUCGAAGACGUCAGAAAGUCGGAAUGGUAUUGCAAAGCGAAUAAGGGAUGAUUGAGUAAGCGAAGCGAAGUGGCGAAUAGAGUAUAGCUAGAGAUGGUCUAGAGAUUACGAGAUGCAUAGAUUGUGAAGGUGGAAAGAUGAGAUAGAGAUGUGAGACUGGAGUCAGAUUUAAGGCAAGUAUCCUAUACCCUUCUUUUGGAUAUCUUGCAAUUAUUCUGAUCCAUUCUUUUCGUAUGUGUUGCAAAUAUUUGUUCCUCUCUUUUUCAUAUUUGAAAGUGUAAAUAUUUUAUCCAUCCUUUUCAAAUCCUCAAAAAAUUCAGAUAAUUCUAGUUUUACAAAUUAAUUCGAAGUUCAGAUUGUCAUUGAAGCAUGUGUUGCUCAGUGAUAGUUAGAGCUUUGAAUGAAUUGGGAUCUUCUUGAUUAUUCAACCCUCCAUUGUCAUGCUGGUUUAGCAGGCUAAAUUCAGUUGCUUAGCCGAUAAUGGAGGAUACUGAAUAGUUGAGGAUUUCCUGAACUGUGAUUAUGAAAUGAUGGAUCAUGAUUUAUGAAUAGAUUAUUAUCAAAGUUUGAAUUGGAAUUAUUCUGUUGUUGAUGAUAUUUAUGAUGAUGUUCUGUUAAUUUACAUUGGCUUCUUGAAUUGAAUUAGAGAAUUGGAUUAUUGUUUUUAUAUAAACCUGUGGACCAGAUUCGUGGUCAUGUUAGGCCAAUGAGUGCCUUGGAUCCAGUGAUAGAGCAUGGCGGGGCCUGCUCGGGGUUAGUGCGGAACUGAUCAGCUGCCUAACCUUUGUUUUAAUUAAAAUGUGAUAGUCCAAUUCGAUAAUUCUCUUGGAAAGAUUGAAUUACUCCAGUAUUCCAUUGAUGCAAGAAAGGAUUAAAGAUGAAUGGCUAGACUAUGAUUGCGAGUAAGGCUAAUGCUAGGCGAGGAGACAGAGUUGAGGAUCCAGUGAUCGAGGAGUGUUCAGGAAAGUUGAUGAGGUUGGUGCAAGCUGGAAUAGUUGACAGUGAUUCUUCUUAUCGAAGAUGAUCUGAUUUGGUAAGAGAAGUUGUGUAAUAUUAGUGGUGGAUUCUAAUUUCAAUACUGUAACCUGGAUGCGAUCCUGUUGCUUUUAGGGGGUUUAAAUGUUCUCUUUCGAAUCAUUUAUUAAAGUUUAAAUGUUCUCUUGAAA